GAGGAUGAAACCAUGAGAAUGGAACCUAGAGAAUGGAACCAUGAGGAUGGAACCAUGAUAAUGGAACCAUGAGGGUGGAACCAUGGGAAUGGAACCAUGAUAAUGGAACCAUGAGGGUGGAACCAUGGGAAUGGAACCAUGAGAAUGGAACCAUGAGGAUGGAACCAUGAGAAUGGAACAAUGGGAAUGGAACCAUGAGAAUGGAACCAUGGGAAUGGAACCAUGAGAAUGGAACCAUGAGGGUGGAACCAUGAGAAUGGAACCAUGAGGGUGGAACCAUGAGGAUGGAACCAUGAGGGUGGAACCAUGAGAAUGGAACCAUGAGGGUGGAACAAUGGGAAUGGAACCAUGAGGAUGGAACCAUGAGAAUGGAACAAUGGGAAUGGAACCAUGAGAAUGGAACCAUGAGGAUGGAACCAUGAGGGUGGAACCAUGUUGAUGGAACCAUGAGGGUGGAACCAUGAGGGUGGAACCAUGAGGAUGGAACCAUGAUGAUGGAACCAUGAGGGUGGAACCAUGAGGGUGGAACCAUGAUGAUGGAACCAUGAGGGUGGUACCAUGAGGGUGGAACCAUGAUGAUGGAUCCAUGAGGAUGGAACCAUGAGGGUGGAACCAUGAGGAUGGAACCAUGAGGGUGGAACCAUGAUGAUGGAACCAUGAGGGUGGUACCAUGAGGGUGGAACCAUGAUGAUGGAUCCAUGAGGAUGGAACCAUGAGGGUGGAACCAUGAGGGUGGUACCAAGGGAAUGGAACCAUGAUGAUGGAUCCAUGAGGAUGGAACAAUGGGGAUGGAUCCAUGAGGCAGCCUGAGGUUAGAUCUUCAACACUACUGACCAAACACCAUCACUCUGGCCCUAGCAUGUGUGUGUUAACGUGUUUUAACGUGUGUGUGUGUGUGUGUGUGUGUGUGUGUGUGUGUGUGGUAUCGUGGUGUGAAAAAUAAUUGUUACUUUUUUUGCAAUUUAAAAACGAUUAAAAGUUGCCGGGGACAACAUUUCCCUGGACCCUAGGCUACUGAAAAUGUUCCCAGACCCUAGGCUACUGAAAAGGCUACUGAAAAUGUUCCCAGACCCUCGGCUACUGAAAAUGUUCCCCUGACCCUAGGCUACUGAAAAUGUUCCCCG
ensembl:lncRNA